rnacentral:rRNA from 1 species
CCUACGGGGGGCAGCAGUGGGGAAUAUUGCACAAUGGGGGAAACCCUGAUGCAGCGACGCCGCGUGAGUGAAGAAGUAUUUCGGUAUGUAAAGCUCUAUUAGCAGGGAAGAAAAUGACGGUUCCUGAUCAAGAAGCGCCGGCUAACUACGUGCCAGCAGCCGCGGUAACACUGGGGGGGCAAGCGUUAUCCGGAUUUACUGGGUGGAAAGGGAGCGUAGGCGGGAGCACAAGGCUGGAGUGAAAUGCCGGGGCUUAACCCCGGAAGUGCUUUGGAAACUGGGCGGCUAGAGUGCCGGAGAGGUAAGUGGAAUUCCUGGUGUAGCGGUGAAAUGCGUAGAUAUUAGGAGGAACACCAGUGGCGAAGGCGGCUUACUGGACUGUAACUGACGUUGAGGCUCGAAAGCGUGGGGAGCGAACAGGAUUAGAUACCCCGGUAGUC